CGCAGUGCAACUCCACGGCCAGCAAUUCAAGUGAUCGCAAGCCAGACGCCGAUGUCACACGACAAAUAACUCUCCACCGCCGCACCAUCACAACGAACAACAAACAACACAUCGGAUGUUCCCAUGAACCGUUACGAUGGUUGUUAUACUCGGUCUUGUUCAGUUGUAACGGCAGGCCAGCGGCAAACCAGGCGAGGAGGGGAGAUGGCUUUUGGUGGGACGACGGUGGAGCGGGCGAUACGAGGAGCGAUUCAUUCUCCUUUCUCCUCCUCGAUUCAGGGUCUUGAAUCUUAUACUUCUCAAAAGAAAAAUCGUUUAACAAGCAAGAUCUACUCUUUUAGACAGCAUCAUGUGAUCAAAAUCUCCUUCAACUUCUGAGCAAGUUCCAGCUCAUGUUAUCAUCAACAAGUCAUUUAGCAUGGAAAGUUUACCUGAUUCUUUGUCAAAGUCUCCAUAUGUGAAGCUGAAAGUUGUUGAAGCACUAAGCAUGGGACCGUUGGAGCUGGCUAAUUCAGUUCAGAAGCAGCAUUGGUGAUCUUGAACAAGAGAUUGGUAGUUACAGAUAUAGCAUAGGGCUAGAUCUUUGUACAAUGGAUUUAGAUUCCUCUGUGGAGAAAAGUUCAUCUAUAUCAUCUGUUUUCUCUGAUGAUAUUUCAAAAGAAGCUAUUAGCUUUCACCAACUUCAGGAUGUCAUAUGUCAGCCUCAUUAUAUGUGCAUGCUAUGUAUGAAAUGAAGCAAGUUAUAUGGAUAUUUUCGUUUGUUUCUGUGAAGUCAGAGGUCACUUUCUUACUGACGGAUAAUCUUGUCGUGUGUGUGUACAUCAUAGACCUCUCUUUUUCUUGCUCCAAAUUCCACAUUCAUAAGUAGGUUCACCGCAGGAGGUUUUGAUCGCAGUUGAAUCUUAGAACAAAGCUCUGCUUAAGAGACACUUCACACCACUUGGCUAGGAGUGCAGAACCAAGGGGCAGAUUACUCACUGUAAACAGUGGAAAUGAAGAAUGUAGAAGAGUUCAUCGCACAGGAAAAUCAACAAAGCUUGUCGAAUAUAUGAACAUAGAGACCAAGACAAAUCCCAUCCAUCAGUUUGUAGCGCUCCUACCUACGGUAGAUCCUAGGAGGCUGCAGCUAGAUCUGAUGAUGAUGCUAUGUCACUCGAGUCUCAAGCGAUUGUAAGAAUUUCUCCUGGCAUUCAUCUUGCUACAUUAUUAUUAUUUUCCUGUUCAUCUUGCUCGAGUCUCAAAGUGUUUGGUUUUUUUCCUGCUAAAUACAUAUGAUUUUGUACAGAUGACAGUAUCGCAACUAGUCAGUGUGCAUGUUGUGGAAGCCUGAUGAUUUGGCAUCACAUGGAGUGGACUUCGUUUAGCUUCGGUUUAUACAGGUACCCGUAGGUUAUCAGGCUCAAGCACUGUAUGUAGAGUAGUAAAAGGUUAUCUGGUAGACCAUUAUGCUGUCAUUUUGGAAUACUUAUCCCUUUUUUAUUUACGAAAACACUUGAGCUGUCUUUUA